UCACAGUUUGCACUGGCAGUCUCGCUAGAGUUCCCGACAUGACUCGCUGGCAACUAACGACAGGGGUUGCGCUCGUUAUAGGACUUAACCUGACACCUCACGGCACGAGCUGACGACAACCAUGCAGCACCUUGAAAGACGUCCGAAGAAAGUCAUGUUUCCACAACUGUCGUCUCCCAUUUAAGCCUUGGUAAGGUUCCUCGCGUAUCAUCGAAUUAAACCACAUGCUCCACCGCUUGUGCGGGCCCCCGUCAAUUCCUUUGAGUUUCAAACUUGCGUUCGUACUCCCCAGGUGGGAUACUUAUCACUUUCGCUUAGCCACUCAGUCUUGCAACCGAACAGCUAGUAUCCAUCGUUUACGGCGUGGACUAC
rnacentral:misc_RNA from 1 species